UACGGAGGGGGCAAGCGUUGUUCGGAAUUACUGGGCGUAAAGGGCGCGUAGGCGGCCUGCUAAGUCGAACGUGAAAUCCCCGAGCUCAACUCGGGAACUGCGUCCGAUACUGGCAGGCUUGAAUCCGGGAGAGGGAUGCGGAAUUCCAGGUGUAGCGGUGAAAUGCGUAGAUAUCUGGAGGAACACCGGUGGCGAAGGCGGCAUCCUGGACCGGCAUUGACGCUGAGGCGCGAAGCCAGGGGAGCAAAACGGG
rnacentral:rRNA from 1 species